UACGGGGGAUGCAAGCGUUAUCCGGAUUUAUUGGGUUUAAAGGGUGCGUAGGUUGUUUUAUAAGUUAGCGGUGAAAUACCGAUGCUCAACAUCGGGGCUGCCGCUGAUACUGUAGGACUAGAGAUCGGAUGCAGCAGGCGGAAUGUGUAGUGUAGCGGUGAAAUGCAUAGAUAUUAGGAGGAACACCAGUGGCGAAGGCGGCUUACUGGACUGUAAUUGACACUGAGGCUCGAAAGCGUGGGGAGCAAACAGG
rnacentral:rRNA from 1 species